rfam:Jeotgalibaca sp. PTS2502, complete genome.
GAGUCAUUAGCUCAGUUGGUAGAGCAUCUGACUUUUAAUCAGAGGGUCGCAGGUUCGAGCCCUGCAUGACUCA